rnacentral:lncRNA from 1 species
GAGAUAUUUCCAACUUGCUUUUUCAAUCUGAACCCAAUCUGUGCAGUUACAUGAGGGGCAUGGCCACACUGCGGACUUUUGAACAUUUGCCUUGCGAGGACCUAACCACCCCUGAUGAUGAGCAGACCGAUAGUGGCAUGGUCCUCCCAUCUGAGGAACUGAAGAAUAUGACGAAGAGCAACUGCAGCAAGCACAGGAAACUCAGCAGGUUCUUCACCUUCACCAAGUGUCGAGACACCCAGGUGCCCUUCCUGUGCAGUGACAUCGCAGGUCUCCGUGAAAACGACCCCUCGAUCCUGCCAUGUGACUGGGAGUCUGACGAGGGAGGCUCCCCUCCUCCAGACUAUAACUCAGCCUUCCUCUACCCCUCCCUUUAGCAUCCACGCUUGUGUAUUUUUCACAACUUCAUACAGGGUUUAUACAGCUUUUUAUAAUUUCUCCAGACCUCACCUUACACUUUUUAAUUUACCCCACCUCACUUUUUAUAGUAUCUGCACGUCCAAAUGCCCCAAAUAUUUUGGAUCUUCCUCCUUCAGCCAAACUUGUUCAAGAAACCUUUGCAAAAUCGCAUGCUGUUGUACAACAAAGCUUCCUCACAAGUAUUAUCUCAGUGCUUUUCCACCACAUUACCCAUUCUACGAGCAGCUAAGUCUUACCUGACAGUACUUAUACCCGUGCAGUUAUGCAGAAUGUAUUCACUAGUAUGUAACUAUCAGAGCUUAUUGUAUUGGUACCUCAUGCCUGAAGCCUUGUGAAGAGGAGCACUGCUGUAUAAAAUAACUGCUCCUCUUGCACAGCUACUACAUGCUGGAAAAAGUUAUUAUCCACUGAAUUAUACAGCUAGACGCAAUAUAUGUACCUGUAUUUAUUUUAGUUAUGCAACCAAAAUGUUACAA